GACGAACGCUGGCGGCGUGCUUAACACAUGCAAGUCGAACGAAGAGCGAUGGAAGCUUGCUUCUAUCAAUCUUAGUGGCGAACGGGUGAGUAACGCGUAAUCAACCUGCCCUUCAGAGGGGGACAACAGUUGGAAACGACUGCUAAUACCGCAUACGAUCUGACCUCGGCAUCGAGGAUAGAUGAAAGGUGGCCUCUACAUGUAAGCUAUCACUGAAGGAGGGGAUUGCGUCUGAUUAGCUAGUUGGAGGGGUAACGGCCCACCAAGGCGAUGAUCAGUAGCCGGUCUGAGAGGAUGAACGGCCACAUUGGGACUGAGACACGGCCCAGACUCCUACGGGAGGCAGCAGUGGGGAAUCUUCCGCAAUGGACGAAAGUCUGACGGAGCAACGCCGCGUGAGUGAUGACGGCCUUCGGGUUGUAAAGCUCUGUUAAUCGGGACGUAAGGCCUUUUUGCGAAUAGUGAGGAGGAUUGACGGUACCGGAAGAGAAAGCCACGGCUAACUACGUG
rnacentral:rRNA from 1 species